UUACCUUUUUAGUAAUAAUGAUUAUUACUAUAAAAAAACAACGUUAAUUUCCUCAUCGGCAAAAAUGGAAGUAAUGAUUUGUAUCCCAGCCUACCAUUUAAAGUGACUGGUAAACUAUACAGGGACGAUGUGACAGUCACUGCAUCUAAGUCAGCACUGAUUCUAAAGUGGCAUUUUAGUGGAUUUCAUAAGCAAUGGGUGGCAAACUUAAGUCGCCACUGUUAUCCCAAGGAACUCGCGGCGCUUUGCAGGCAGGGGCACAGAAAAGCGACAUUCAGGACAACACAGCCUCAGACCUGAGAGCUGUAAGGGCCCCGGGAUGGCGCCAGCCCCUAGCGUAAGAACGAGGAAGCAGCGCUCGGAGCGCGGCGGUGACCUUGCGUGCCCUGGGUGGAGAAAGGAGACGGAAUUCCGCACCUGGCUGCGAGCGCGUCUGCUCCCGGAGCUUCCCCGACCCGGGCGCGUGGAGGGCGUGGGAGGCCGGAGGGGAGGCCCCGCCCCGCCCCGCCUCGCCUAGGAGACCCCGCCCCCCGGGACGCCCGGCGGCCCAGCGCGCGGACAGGGGCGCCGGCGGGGCGGCGAGGGGCGCGGCGAGCGCGCAGUCACGUAGCAGCCCGAGGAUCCGUUCGCUCUGCGCCACGUAGCGCGCGACUCCCGAAGGCUCCUUCAUGAGACCUCAGUUAAGGUGUUGGCCAGACCUGUCUCCCCCUGGGUUGAAGGAUCCACGUCUCAGGUGCCUUAUUCAUGUGGUUGUUCCAGUUACGUGCCAUCAACCAUGAUCCAGAAGCAGUGACCCUCCUGCUGACAUGUUGUCAGAAGUACUCUGCACCGAGACCUGCGACCUGUCCGGUAUGUCCCUUCUGAAAACCAUGAAGUGGUUGGAAAAAAGGACACACGGAAGAGGUAAAUUAUACCUGUUUUGGGGUUACACUAAUUCAUACUUACAGGAAAAGGUGAAACUCAGGAAACAAAAUCGCGGCUCUCCUGUGCAGCGUGGGGGAAGGGGCACUGACCCAGAGGAGCGGGCUCACGGAGAAGAGAAGGGAAAGGUGGAGCUCCAGGAGAGAAGAGACGCCUCCCCUGGACUAAUGAGAGGAGCUUCAGCAGAAGAAAACACCGGAAACGUGCCCUGGAGAGGCAGAGGACACAUUCCUUCAGUAGGAACAGCGGGGACACCUUUCUAGGGGAAAGGGGAGAGGAAAACAGGGCAAGAACUGAUUCUUGCCAUCUUGUAGAACUGAUUCUACAGAGCUCUUUCAAGUGGCAUAGAAUUUCCUCCAUCGCAAGGUGCUUUUUGCAACAGGACCUACAAGCCCUUCUUUUGAGUUUUGUGGGAUUUCUCUCUUUUUAUUUUCAUUCGUUUGGUUUUGCCCCCAGAUAGCUGGCUUAGGUGAAUACUGACACGAAAAUUGUUAGUGUGCUCUAGUCGUGGAUUUAGAAUACCCUGAAUCAGAAGUGACAGCCGUGGGUGCCUGGGUGACUCGGUUAAGCAUCCACUCUUGAUUUCCGUUCAGGUCAUGAUCUCAUGGUUCAUGGGUUCAAGCCCUGCCUCAGGCUCUGUGCUGACAGUACGGAGUCUCUUGGGAUUCUUUCUCUCUCCCUCUCUCUCUGUUCCUUCCCGCCUCGUGCUUGCUCUCUCUCAAAAUAAAUAAAUAAACAACCACAACAAAAAGAGGUGAGAGCCAGCCUCUGGAUGUCGAUGUCGGCUGGGUAUCACAACCAGGACAACCAAAAUUUCAUGUUACAGAUAAAUCCAGUUCCCUCCUUGGCCCCUUCUCCCACCAGCCUCUAGAAGGAACAAGCAGCAACCAGUAACCUCAGCAAUCCUGUACCAGUCGCUGCCUGGCUAUUUCCCCCAGAAGGCUGGUGAGGUACCGUCCUCCCCAGAAAGGAUAACAUGGCACUCCUUCAAACACGAAGAACCAUGCCUUCUUCCCUCUUCCCUGUCCGAGCUUUCCAGGGGAAUUCCAGUUUUACCCCAGCGAGUCUACUGGAAACUUCACCCGUCCUCAUUUCUUCUCAUGAAUUACCAUUAUUCACACCAGAGCACACACUUGACACCCCUCAUUUUGGAGCCGUCUCACUACAAGCUCGCCUUUGGUCACGUCAGUCUAUUUUUAAUCAUUACAGGGCUUAUGUCUCAUGCAUUCAUUUAUUUACAAGUUUAUUGUCUAUCUUAGAAUAUAAGGGCCAUGAGAGCAAUGACUUACUUGUCCUGUUGACUACUGUAUUUUUCAUGUUUAGAAUAGCGUUUGACAUGCAAUAGAUACGCCAAAUCAUUUAUUAUUGUUAAAAAUAGAGGGUAGAAUCAAUUACAAAGCAAGAACUUGGGAAACAAAAAUAUUGUAAUAUUAAUAUGAAAAUAGUUUUUACCUCACAGACUCAGAGAUACUCGCAAUCUACUAAGUGCUGCAAUAGAAUUUGGAGUAGCCAGAGGUCACUGGGGUUGGAGAGCUGAGGAGAGAGGAACACUAAGGGGUGUCUCUGAGACCCUUUCAGAGAGUCUGUAAGGUAAAAACUAUUUUCAUAGUAAUAUUAAGAUGUUGGCUUUUUCACUGUGGUGACCCUUCUGAUGAUGCAAAAGCAAUAGAGGGCAAAAUGGCCACCCUCUUGGCACAUGGCACCAACUGUCACCACAUACACACAGGAAAACAGAUUCCAGUUUCAUUUAAGAAUGUCCUGGAAGGUUAGUAUUCAAAAUCUGUAAAGAACUUACCAGACUCAACACCUGAAAGACGAAUAACCCACUUAAGAAAUGGGCAGAAGACAUGAAUAGACACUUUUCCAAAGACAUCCAGAUGGCUAACAGACGUAUGAAAAGAUGCUCAACGUGACUCAUCAUCAGGGAAAUACAAAUCAAAACCAUGAUGAGACUCCACCUCACACCUGUCAGAAUGGCUAAAAUUAACAACACAAGAAACAACAAAUGUUGGUGAGGAUGCGGAGAAAGUGAAGCCCUCUUGCUCUGUUGGUGGGAAUGCAAAGUGGUGCAGCCACUCUGGAGAACAGGAUGGAGGUUUUUCAAAAGACUAAAAAUAGAACUACCCUACAAUCCAGCAAUUUCACUGCUAGGUAUUCACCCAAAGGAUACAAAAAUACAGAUUCAAAGGGGUACCUGCACCCCAAUGUUUAUAGCAGCAUUAUCAAUGAUAGCCAAACUAUAGAGAGAGCCCAAAUGUCCAUCGACUGAUGAAUGGGUAAAGAAGGUGUGGUAUACACACACACACACACAAUGGUGUAUUACUCAGCCGUCAAAAUGAACGAAAUCUUGCCGUUUGCAAUGACGUGGAUGGAGCUAGAAUGUAUUAUGCUAAGCGAAAUAAGUCAAUCAGAGAAAGACAAAUACUGUAUGAUUUCACGCAUAUGUGGAAUUUAAGAAACAAAACAGAUGAACAUAGGGGAAGGGGAGGGGGAAGAAGAGAGGGGAACAAACCACAGGAGACUCUUAAUGAUAGAGAACAAACUGAGUAUUGCUGGAGGGAGGUGGGGGGGGAUGGGCUAGAUGGGCGAUGGGCAUUAAGGAGGGCACUUGUUGGGAUGAGCAGUGGGUGUUAUAAAGAAAUGAAUCACUGAAUUCUACUCCUGAAACCAAUAUUGCACUGUAGGUUAACUAACUAAAAUUUAAAUGAAAAAAGAAAAAAAAAGAAUGUCCUUAAGGCGCUCCUCCUGGCUCAUUUGGUGGAGCAUGUGACUCUUCAUCUCAUGGUUGUAGGUCUAGCCCCCUAUUGGGUGUAGAGAUUACUUGAAAAUAAAAUCUUUUUUUAAAAAAAGAAUGUCCUUGGGGUGCCUGGGUGGCUCAGUCGGUUGAGUGUCCGACUUCGGUUCAGGUCAUGAUCUCACGGUCUAUGAGUUCCAGCCCCGCGUCGGGCUCUGUGCUGAUGGCUCAGAGCCUGGAGCCUGUUUUGGAUUCUGUGUCUCCCUCUCUGCCCCUCCCCCACUCAUGCUCGCUCUCUCUCUCUCUCUGUCUCUGUCAAAAAUAAAUAGACAUUAAAAAAAUUUUUUUAAAGAAUGUCCUUGAUAAAUCAGUAAAAAUUAUUAAUUUUGUUAACUCUUGACCUCUGAGUACAUGUGCAUUUGAUAUUCUCUGUGAUAAAAUGGAAAACACACAUAAGGCAUUUCUGCUGAAUAAUGAAGGGUGUUGGUUUUCUUGAGGAAAAAUGCUUGGCAAUUGAAUAGUGAGCCAAACUAGCCUUUCAUUCCCCAUGGAACAUCAUUAUUCUUUGACACUCUAAAGAAUGGAAGACAAACUAUAGUUAUUUAGAGUUGGAUAUCUGACAGGUAUUUUCUCAAAAUGAACAAAGUGAGCUUGUCCCCUCCAGUAAAACAACUGACAAUGUCAGUUGCCAAUGAUAAAAUUUUAACUUUCAAGAAAGAAUUAGGAUUAUAGAAAGCCCAUGUCCAUCACAGUGAGCUUGACAGCUUCCUUAUAGAAAUUAUUCUGAUGAGAUUGGUGGCAGUAUAUUAAUAAUGUGAUUUUUUUGCAUGUGUAAUAAACUGUGUUGAAAUUUGGAAGAUCUACGUAACUCAGUGAGUCAGUAUUUUCCAAAUGUUACAAAAGCAUGCGUGCGUAAAAGAACCACUGAAAGUGCAAAAUAGAUGAAUGGACUUCAUGUAAGCGCAUUUAAAAAGUUCAUUGAAAACGUUCCAGAUUCCACAUUAAAAUUAACUUAAAGAAAUUAGCCCUUAGUGAGUUUGGGUGUACUACCAAAGAAUGUGCGCACCUAUCUUUAAAAACUAUUAAAAUACUCCUCCCUCCUACAGAGGCUGAUUUUUCUUCAUAGGCUUCUACCAAAACAAGACAUUACAAGAGGCAAUGUAGGAGCAGAGUAGAUAGGAGAAUCCAGCUGUUUUUAUCAAGACAGACAUUAAGGAGAUUUGUAAAAUGUAAAUGACAUCACUCUCAUUAAAUAUUUUCUGUUUUGGAAAAUAGUUAUUUGUCGUAAUUUACAUUAAUAUGUAAUACAUUAUUAUUGUCACUCUUAAAUAUUUUUAAAAUUUCUCGGUGUUACUUUAUAAUAUGGUAAAUACUGAUAGCCCACCUUUUAUUUUUUUUAAGAAAAAUUCAGAAUCCUCAAUUUGUAAGGGGGUCAGUGGGUUUUGAGACCAAAAUGUUCAGAGAGCCACUGGCCUGGAUAAAACUUGAGAGAAUUCAGCAGUGGCUCCAAAGAAAAUGAGACGUUUUUCUUCUCUUUGCUGAAGGCCAGGUUCACAGUGCAAGUGACGAAGGGAAUUCGAAAAUUAAACUGAAGGAAAGAGGCUGAUAUUUAGGGAGGCUCCUCUGUGCCAUAGGACAUCUUCUCUCAUGCCCUCCUCAGAACUGUCCUGUGAGGUAACAGUGAUUCGGUCCCGUGUUGACAGAAGGAGGCUCAGAAGGGCUGGUUAGGGAACAGCUACUGUAAGUGGGGGGCGGAGCCACAGACCUGCCAGCACUUCCCAUCACACCAAUACAUCCGACAAUCACCGGAGAUGUUUAGGUCCAAAAUACCUUCAGCUAAAAUAUCAGCGCAACUGAGGUAAAACAUGGCUUUGAUGCAUCUGAAUUAUCCCAGUGACCGCCUUGGUGUGCCACCUCCCCGGGGUUGGCAAAGACAAUGGCAUCACAGAAUAGUCACCAGAUUUCCUGCAAAACGCUGUAAACCAGAUGGGCUUCUCUUGAAACUUCUUGGAGUCGUUCUUCUUCCCAAGGAAAAAGGUUGGGAGUAUGGUUUUUGUUGUUUUUGGGGAUUUUUUUUUUUUUUUUUUUUUUUUUUUUGCCUUCGGUUUUUGUUCUGGCAUUCUUUUGUGAGCCUGGAACUGAUUACUAAAUAGGGUCAAACAGCUUGAGUUGGGGCUUCCUGUGUGAAUGUGAACAGUGCUGAUUUCCAGCUUUUCGUUUGAUAUGUUAUCUGUGUUGGCCGCGGCCGCCGCUGAAGUUUCAGAUGGCUUCCUUCAAUUUCCUGUAUUGUGAGGACGGUGGAUGUGUGCACAUGUGCAUGCAGGGAGGUGGCGGGAGGGCGCUUCUGCGUGGAUUUCCUUGGAUUUUGUGAAAGGUUUUCAGUGAGUCGUUAAGAGGGCCACGCAUUUUAGUGGAAAGAGUACUGGGUCGCACAAACGCAGGUCUGGUGCCUGUCUGCCAUUCAUGAUCUGUGUGGUUUCCAGCAAGUUCUUUCUCAGGCCCAGUCCUGCUUCCUUACAAGGCUCCUUCCAGCCUUGAAAUUUUGUUAACUCUGAGCUCCACUCCAAGCCACACUGCCUGACUCUCCACACUUUGUUGGUAUGAAAGCAUUUGUUUUUCUUCUUUCUUAUAGACGUUCCACGUGUCGUCAUCUUUCAUUUCCCCGUCUUAUCCCUGCAUUAUAGCCUCUUAUAUUUAAGUUCUUCUAGAAAUGGCCCUCCAUCACCAGCUCGCAUUAUUCAGCUCCCAUGGUCUCUGAAAUACUAUGACAAUGGUUGGCCUUUUCUUAGAAGGUCCAGAAUGUGUUUGCUUCCUGUUUCUGUUACUGGGGAUGUCUAGAGCUUGGAGAUUGCAUUCUGUCAGGAUCUUCCCUCGGCCUGAAAUACAGGCCAGAGAUGCUGGGCUGGCAGCCGCUUCUCCAGCUCUGCUCUAUUUUUAUCAAAUCCAAUUAGAUUUAAGUAUGCGGGAUAAUGGCAAAUUUAAUUCAUCUGCUUUCAUGUCUGGGUAUGAACAUUUAAAAUGGAACCAGGACGUUAAACUCCUCUCUUCCACCAGCUUCCGCCUCCCGCGCACGCCAUGGCUUCCCCGGAGUGGGUAUAGCGCCAUCUAGUGGUGCGAUGGGCUAAGGCUUUGCUGCCCGGUUCCUGCAAUGCUUGAAGAAAACCUGUUGAGUGAAAGACACGCAAGCAGGGAUUGAAACAAAAUACUGGGAACGCUUGCAGCAGAUCACUUAGGACGCCGAAAGUUCAGAUUUGCUAUUCACCAUGCAAAUGUACAUUAAGUUACAAGAAUCCCUGGAACCGUGCAAAGCGGAGAUUUGUGGGUGUGUUCACUUCAGAUAGGAGUCCUGUUCGGUUUUUAACUUCUUAGUGAGGUUUUUGUGCUCUUCGUGUGGGAUCCAAAUACUGAGUGUUGGUAAUUUAUGCUCCUGUGAAAAACAUGGGCAAAUUGCUUCAUUUUUUCUCAGCCUCCGUUUCUCUUUUUGUCAUCCGUAAAAGAGAAUUUCUAAGAACCUUUACAAUCCUUUAAAAAAUGUCAACUAGCUACAAAUACUACGGUUCCGUGACUUACUCUAGUGACUGCACAUGCUUAAGAUCCAUGACUUUUUCCAUCUUCCAAGAGUGUGAUGUUAACAGGAAGUGUGGAAAUAAUACCAAUAGCUGGCAUUUAGUGAGUACUGCUACACCUCUGGCAUUGUUUUCAGCACUUUACACACAUUCACUUUUUUAUUUGAUCAUUCCAAAAUUCUGGCUGGCAAAAUUCUGCAAGAUAAAUAUGAUUCUGCUUGCUUUACAGAUAAGGCAUCUAAGGCUACCACACCCUGCUCUCCAUGUUCACAGACUAGUAAAGAAGAUGAAAGAGAAGUGAAAAAUAUGGUACUCUCAUUGUAAUUCCUCACACCAGUACUCGUGGCAUAGAGCACAGUGCAAUUUGCUGUGUUCCGACAAUCCCAAAUGUACUCAGGCCAUGUAAGAGGAGCUAUUUCUCUGUCUUUCACAUAUUCAUGAAGCUGCUGUCAUAAGACGAUUGUUAGAGAAGUAAUUAAGAUGUGUAUUCCAAGGAUUCAGGAGAAACUCACAUUUGUUAAGCUCUAAUAUGGUGCCCAGACCUCUUCCCUGUGGGGCAAGCAGUGAGGAGAGGUGGAGAAUCCGGUCCUCUAAGGAUGGCAGGUGGCAGAGGCCCAUCAGGACCGAUGCAGGGAGGCCACCGGGGCGGGGGCGGGGGCAGACAUGAUGCAAUAAUAGCAUUCUGUUGCUUUCAUUGAUGCACUUGAGUAUUCCCUUUGAAAGCUCAAGAGCCUUUCCCACCGUGUAUUGCGUAGGGUGCUAAUACACUUGAUGUGGAAAACAGAGCUUCCGGGUCAAAUACGACGGCAACCACUGGCCUAAAUAAAGUUAAAUGGGUUUUAGGCUCUCGAGGAGGACUUCUUGAAAUGUUUUUGUAUGUCCGUGUGUACUUUUUAUGUAAUUUAUACGUUAAAUGUAUUUUAAUAUGUACAAUCAAAUAACCUCCAAUGGCUAGGGAUUUAAGGCAGAUAAUAAUUCUUGUCUCUAUACCAGGAACCCUGUUGCCUAACUGCUGUUAAUUUCUGUGUGUGUAAAUUUCUGUGUGUGCUACGUGGUAGUAGCAUCAUUUUGCAACCCUGAGCUGCAGUCCCACAGAGCAACCGGAAGCCCAGCAGCUGCUGCCCCCUGGAGGUGGGGUUGCGCUGCCCACCUUGCAAGCUCCUCCCAGCAUCCUGCUCUUAGGUGUUUCCUUUCAAUGGUUUUGAUUAAUGAUCAACUCCACCCUGGUCUGCUGUCCUGAUGGACUUUCCUAUAUUAUAGAAAUAGUCAUGAAAUAUUAGGACAUAAAU